rnacentral:lncRNA from 1 species
CAAGAAAUGAAGCCCAAAAUCACAUCUUGUAUGGGUGAUUCUCCAUCAGCUACCUGGGGCAUUCACCAGCUUGUGAAGUUGUGAGGUAAUGAAGGAUAUGAAUAAGAGAAUAUCAAUUGGGAAUUCUAUCAGUGCAGUUCAUCAUUAGAUGCAUCAGUACAUAUCUUCUGAUUGUACUAAACUUUUCUAAGCCUACCGCAAGCAGGUCAGGAGCCAUAACUCAUGGCGAUAGCUGAUUCUGACAGUAUUUAAACUCAAUAUAUUAAGAUAUGUAAAUAACACACAAGAAUUUCCUUCCCUUGCUGUCUACAUUUUUAUAUUUGUUCUUUUUCCCUUUCUGUUUUGGGCAGAAAAACGCACUGGCAAAUGAAAAAGUUCUCAUUGAGUAGUCAAAAAACAUAUACCGUG